AUUACGAACACCUGACCUGCAGUGCAGCAGAAUUCAGAGGUCCAGUUGAGGGGCAUCAAGAACACGCAGAUGGCCUAAACCUGUGUCAGCCUGGACAGACUGCAGUUCUGCUACUCCAUGCCAAGGCUUUUGUAUGGAUGUCUUGACUGCUACUGUGUUCUCUAAAGGUUUUCUGGAAGCUCCAUUUGAGGGCAUCAAGGACAUACUGAUGGCCUAAACCAGUGUCAGCCUAGACAGACAGACAUCUAUUGCAGUUCUGCUACACAAGACCAAACUCUCUGCUUUUGUAUGGAUGUCUGACUAGUACGGUGUUCUCUAAAGGUAUAACUGGAGCAAAACAACAGCAUCCGUUACAGUGAAAUUUGUGUUC
rnacentral:lncRNA from 1 species